GGGUUGUGAGGUUAAGCGACUAAGCGUACACGGUGGAUGCCCUGGCAGUCAGAGGCGAUGAAGGACGUGCUAAUCUGCGAUAAGCGUCGGUAAGGUGAUAUGAACCGUUAUAACCGGCGAUUUCCGAAUGGGGAAACCCAGUGUGAUUCGUCACACUAUCAUUAACUGAAUCCAUAGGUUAAUGAGGCGAACCGGGGGAACUGAAACAUCUAAGUACCCCGAGGAAAAGAAAUCAACCGAGAUUCCCCCAGUAGCGGCGAGCGAACGGGGAGGAGCCCAGAGCCUGAAUCAGUAUGUGUGUUAGUGGAAGCGUCUGGAAAGGCGCGCGAUACAGGGUGACAGCCCCGUACACAAAAAUGCACAUGCUGUGAGCUCGAUGAGUAGGGCGGGACACGUGGUAUCCUGUCUGAAUAUGGGGGGACCAUCCUCCAAGGCUAAAUACUCCUGACUGACCGAUAGUGAACCAGUACCGUGAGGGAAAGGCGAAAAGAACCCCGGCGAGGGGAGUGAAAAAGAACCUGAAACCGUGUACGUACAAGCAGUGGGAGCACGCUUAGGCGUGUGACUGCGUACCUUUUGUAUAAUGGGUCAGCGACUUAUAUUCUGUAGCAAGGUUAACCGAAUAGGGGAGCCGAAGGGAAACCGAGUCUUAACUGGGCGUUAAGUUGCAGGGUAUAGACCCGAAACCCGGUGAUCUAGCCAUGGGCAGGUUGAAGGUUGGGUAACACUAACUGGAGGACCGAACCGACUAAUGUUGAAAAAUUAGCGGAUGACUUGUGGCUGGGGGUGAAAGGCCAAUCAAACCGGGAGAUAGCUGGUUCUCCCCGAAAGCUAUUUAGGUAGCGCCUCGUGAAUUCAUCUCCGGGGGUAGAGCACUGUUUCGGCAAGGGGGUCAUCCCGACUUACCAACCCGAUGCAAACUGCGAAUACCGGAGAAUGUUAUCACGGGAGACACACGGCGGGUGCUAACGUCCGUCGUGAAGAGGGAAACAACCCAGACCGCCAGCUAAGGUCCCAAAGUCAUGGUUAAGUGGGAAACGAUGUGGGAAGGCCCAGACAGCCAGGAUGUUGGCUUAGAAGCAGCCAUCAUUUAAAGAAAGCGUAAUAGCUCACUGGUCGAGUCGGCCUGCGCGGAAGAUGUAACGGGGCUAAACCAUGCACCGAAGCUGCGGCAGCGACGCUGAUGCGUUGUUGGGUAGGGGAGCGUUCUGUAAGCCUGCGAAGGUGUGCUGUGAGGCAUGCUGGAGGUAUCAGAAGUGCGAAUGCUGACAUAAGUAACGAUAAAGCGGGUGAAAAGCCCGCUCGCCGGAAGACCAAGGGUUCCUGUCCAACGUUAAUCGGGGCAGGGUGAGUCGACCCCUAAGGCGAGGCCGAAAGGCGUAGUCGAUGGGAAACAGGUUAAUAUUCCUGUACUUGGUGUUACUGCGAAGGGGGGACGGAGAAGGCUAUGUUGGCCGGGCGACGGUUGUCCCGGUUUAAGCGUGUAGGCUGGUUUUCCAGGCAAAUCCGGAAAAUCAAGGCUGAGGCGUGAUGACGAGGCACUACGGUGCUGAAGCAACAAAUGCCCUGCUUCCAGGAAAAGCCUCUAAGCAUCAGGUAACAUCAAAUCGUACCCCAAACCGACACAGGUGGUCAGGUAGAGAAUACCAAGGCGCUUGAGAGAACUCGGGUGAAGGAACUAGGCAAAAUGGUGCCGUAACUUCGGGAGAAGGCACGCUGAUAUGUAGGUGAAGUCCCUCGCGGAUGGAGCUGAAAUCAGUCGAAGAUACCAGCUGGCUGCAACUGUUUAUUAAAAACACAGCACUGUGCAAACACGAAAGUGGACGUAUACGGUGUGACGCCUGCCCGGUGCCGGAAGGUUAAUUGAUGGGGUUAGCGCAAGCGAAGCUCUUGAUCGAAGCCCCGGUAAACGGCGGCCGUAACUAUAACGGUCCUAAGGUAGCGAAAUUCCUUGUCGGGUAAGUUCCGACCUGCACGAAUGGCGUAAUGAUGGCCAGGCUGUCUCCACCCGAGACUCAGUGAAAUUGAACUCGCUGUGAAGAUGCAGUGUACCCGCGGCAAGACGGAAAGACCCCGUGAACCUUUACUAUAGCUUGACACUGAACAUUGAGCCUUGAUGUGUAGGAUAGGUGGGAGGCUUUGAAGUGUGGACGCCAGUCUGCAUGGAGCCGACCUUGAAAUACCACCCUUUAAUGUUUGAUGUUCUAACGUUGACCCGUAAUCCGGGUUGCGGACAGUGUCUGGUGGGUAGUUUGACUGGGGCGGUCUCCUCCUAAAGAGUAACGGAGGAGCACGAAGGUUGGCUAAUCCUGGUCGGACAUCAGGAGGUUAGUGCAAUGGCAUAAGCCAGCUUGACUGCGAGCGUGACGGCGCGAGCAGGUGCGAAAGCAGGUCAUAGUGAUCCGGUGGUUCUGAAUGGAAGGGCCAUCGCUCAACGGAUAAAAGGUACUCCGGGGAUAACAGGCUGAUACCGCCCAAGAGUUCAUAUCGACGGCGGUGUUUGGCACCUCGAUGUCGGCUCAUCACAUCCUGGGGCUGAAGUAGGUCCCAAGGGUAUGGCUGUUCGCCAUUUAAAGUGGUACGCGAGCUGGGUUUAGAACGUCGUGAGACAGUUCGGUCCCUAUCUGCCGUGGGCGCUGGAGAACUGAGGGGGGCUGCUCCUAGUACGAGAGGACCGGAGUGGACGCAUCACUGGUGUUCGGGUUGUCAUGCCAAUGGCACUGCCCGGUAGCUAAAUGCGGAAGAGAUAAGUGCUGAAAGCAUCUAAGCACGAAACUUGCCCCGAGAUGAGUUCUCCCUGACUCCUUGAGAGUCCUGAAGGAACGUUGAAGACGACGACGUUGAUAGGCCGGGUGUGUAAGCGCAGCGAUGCGUUGAGCUAACCGGUACUAAUGAACCGUGAGGCUUAACCUUACAACGCCGAAGGUGUUU
rnacentral:rRNA from 1 species